rnacentral:siRNA from 1 species
UAAAUAACCUGGCGGGGAGAUGA